AACGAACGCUGGCGGCAGGCCUAACACAUGCAAGUCGAGCGCCCCGCAAGGGGAGCGGCGGACGGGUGAGUAACGCGUGGGAACGUGCCCUUUGCUACGGAAUAGCCUCGGGAAACUGGGAGUAAUACCGUAUGUGCCCUACGGGGGAAAGAUUUAUCGGCAAAGGAUCGGCCCGCGUUGGAUUAGGUAGUUGGUGGGGUAACGGCCUACCAAGCCGACGAUCCAUAGCUGGUUUGAGAGGAUGAUCAGCCACACUGGGACUGAGACACGGCCCAGACUCCUACGGGAGGCAGCAGUGGGGAAUCUUAGACAAUGGGCGCAAGCCUGAUCUAGCCAUGCCGCGUGAGCGAUGAAGGCCUUAGGGUUGUAAAGCUCUUUCAGUGGGGAAGAUAAUGACUGUACCCACAGAAGAAGCCCCGGCUAACUCCGUGCCAGCCGCCGCCGUAAGAC
rnacentral:rRNA from 1 species